GUGAUCUGGACGCACAUUUUCGUUACAAUAUUUUGAGUUCCCUAAUUUUGUGUCGCGUUAUUACGUACUGUUUCUAAGUGAUGUGCGGCGUUCGUUAAGCGCGGAAUAUACACACGCAGAGGUAAAGCGUGAGUGAUGUUCUGUCGGCCGUCGGAUACUCUUUUUGUAUCAUACGCGUACUUCAUAUUUAUUUCGUAUUUUCUUUGGAUAUGCCAAACGCGCACAAAUAUAUUUUGCAUCAAGGUGUCUAGCGGGCGAACUGAAUGUCCUUGAACAACGAUUCUUUCGUCAGAUUGUGUCUAGCGGGCGAACGGAAUGUUCUUGAACAACGAUUCCUUCGUCAGAUUGUGUCUAGCGGGCGAACGGAAUGUUCUUGAACAACGAUUCCUUCGUCAGAUUGU